rnacentral:rRNA from 1 species
AGUGAACGCUGGCGGUAGGCCUAACACAUGCAAGUCGAACGGCAGCACAGUAAGAGCUUGCUCUUACGGGUGGCGAGUGGCGGACGGGUGAGGAAUACAUCGGAAUCUACUUUUUCGUGGGGGAUAACGUAGGGAAACUUACGCUAAUACCGCAUACGACCUACGGGUGAAAGCAGGGGAUCUUUGGACCUUGCGCGAUUGAAUUAGCCGAUGUCGGAUUAGCUAGUUGGCGGGGUAAAGGCCCACCAAGGCGACGAUCCGUAGCUGGUCUGAGAGGAUGAUAGGCGACACUGGAACUGAGACAGGGACCAGACUACUACGGGAGGCAGCAGUGGGGAAUAUUAGACAAUGGGCGCAAGCCUGAUCCAGCCAUACCGCGUGGGUGAAGAAGGCCUUCGGGUUGUAAAGCCCUUUUGUUGGGAAAGAAAAGCAGCAGGUUAAUACCACGCUGUUCUGACGGUACCCAAAGAAUAAGCACCGGCUAACUUCGUG